rnacentral:rRNA from 1 species
UACGGAGGGGGCUAGCGUUGUUCGGAAUUACUGGGCGUAAAGCGCACGUAGGCGGCUUGGUAAGUUAGAGGUGAAAGCCUGGAGCUCAACUCCAGAAUUGCCUUUAAGACUGCCGAGCUAGCAGGUGAGAGAGGUGAGUGGAAUUCCGAGUGUAGAGGUGAAAUUCGUAGAUAUUCGGAAGAACACCAGUGGCGAAGGCGACUACCUGGCCUGUUCUUGACGCUGAGGCGCGAAAGCUAGGGGAGCAAACGGG